AAGUGUUAAUUUUAUAUACCGGGGUAAUAUUAGUUAUGUUCUUCAAACCCAAAGAAUUUGGCGGUACUUUAUUCCAUUCAGAGGAACCUACCCCAUAAUUGAUAAUACACGAUUAACUCUACUUAAUUAAUUUGUUUGUAUAUCUCCGUUAUCAGAAGAUCUUUUUAGAGUUAUAAUUUUCCUAAUUUAUAAUUAUAAAUUAUUUCAGGUCAAGGUGCAGUUUAUAGUUAAGAGGAGGUGGGUUACAAUAAAUUAUAUUUAUAACGAAUUUAAUAAUAAAUAAUUAUUAAUGAAGGUGGAUUUGAUAGUAAUUUUAUUUAUUUAAUUUAAUUGAUUUUGGUUCUAAGGU
rnacentral:rRNA from 1 species